GAUUUUAAUUCAGCUAUAACAAAAAUUUGCGUAACUAACUCAGAAUAGCCAGUAAAAUCCAAAAUAGCAACUCUCCAAGCUCUCUUAUCUUUAUCCUUCUACCUAAAUCAUCCAUUCAUCUAGCUCUCUUCUGCAUUAGGCAGCGAGAAAAAACUAGGCCCAUUUUUGUCAAUUUAUCCACUUAAAUCUAUUUUCCAACCUUCUCUAUUGUUCUCAGAUAUAUGACAACUCCUCCUUACCAUUAAUGCUGUGGCUUGUAAAGGUCAUUAGAAAACCAGUUUGUGUUGUGUCUGAUAUAGAGAUUUUUACUAUAAU
rnacentral:misc_RNA from 1 species